UAGGGAAUCUUCGGCAAUGGACGAAAGUCUGACCGAGCAACGCCGCGUGAGUGAAGAAGGUUUUCGGAUCGUAAAACUCUGUUGUUAGAGAAGAACAAGGACGUUAGUAACUGAACGUCCCCUGACGGUAUCUAACCAGAAAGCCACGGCUAACUACGUGCCAGCAGCCGCGGUAAUACGUAGGUGGCAAGCGUUGUCCGGCUUUAUUGGGCGUAAAGCGAGCGCAGGCGGUUUCUUAAGUCUGAUGUGAAAGCCCCCGGCUCAACCGGGGAGGGUCGUUGGAAACUGGGAGACUAGAGUGCAGAAGAGGAGAGUGGAAUUCCAUGUGGAGCGGUGAAAUGCGUAGAUAUAUAGAGGAACACCAGUGGAGAAGGCGGCUCUGUGGUCUGUAACAGACGCUGGGGCGCGAAAGCGUGGGGAGCAAACAGG
rnacentral:rRNA from 1 species